rnacentral:rRNA from 1 species
GAUGAACGCUGGCGGCGUGCCUAAUACAUGCAAGUCGAGCGAACGGACGAUAAGCUUGCUUCUCUGAUGUUAGCGGCGGACGGGUGAGUAACACGUGGAUAACCUACCUAUAAGACUGGGAUAACUUCGGGAAACCGGAGCUAAUACCGGAUGAUAUUUUGAACCGCAUGGUUCAAAAGUGAAAGACGGUCUUGCUGUCACUUAUAGAUGUAUCCGCGCUGCAUUAGCUAGUUGGUAAGGUAACGGCUUACCAAGGCAACGAUGCAUAGCCGACCUGAGAGGGUGAUCGGCCACACUGGAACUGAGACACGGUCCAGACGCCUACGGGAGGCAGCAGUAGGGAAUCUUCCGCAAUGGGCGAAAGCCUGACGGAGCAACGCCGCGUGAGUGAUGAAGGUCUUCGGAUCGUAAAACUCUGUUAUUAGGGAAGAACAUAUGUGUAAGUAACUGUGCACAUCGUGACGGUACCUAAUCAGAAAGCCACGGCUAACUACGUG